AUGAACGCUGGCGGCGUGCCUAAUACAUGCAAGUCGAGCGAACAGAUGAGGAGCUUGCUCCUCUGACGUUAGCGGCGGACGGGUGAGUAACACGUGGAUAACCUACCUAUAAGACUGGGAUAACUUCGGGAAACCGGAGCUAAUACCGGAUAAUAUAUUGAACCGCAUGGUUCAAUAGUGAAAGACGGUUUUGCUGUCACUUAUAGAUGGAUCCGCGCCGCAUUAGCUAGUUGGUAAGGUAACGGCUUACCAAGGCAACGAUGCGUAGCCGACCUGAGAGGGUGAUCGGCCACACUGGAACUGAGACACGGUCCAGACUCCUACGGGAGGCAGCAGUAGGGAAUCUUCCGCAACGGGCGAAAGCUUGACGGAGCAACGCCGCGUGAGUGAUGAAGGUCUUCGGAUCGUAAAACUCUGUUAUUAGGGAAGAACAAAUGUGUAAGUAACUAUGCACGUCUUGACGGUACCUAAUCAGAAAGCCACGGCUAACUACGUG
rnacentral:rRNA from 1 species